rnacentral:rRNA from 1 species
GAUGAACGCUGGCAGAAUGCUUAACACAUGCAAGUCCACUUGAAUUUCGGUUUGGGUGGCGGACGGGUGAGUAACGCGUAAAGAACUUGCCUCACAGAUAGGGACAACAUUUGGAAACGAAUGCUAAUACCUGAUAUUAUGAUUUUAGGGCAUCCAAGGAUUAUGAAAGCUAUAUGCGCUGUGAGAGAGCUUUGCGUCCCAUUAGCUAGUUGGAGAGGUAACGGCUCACCAAGGCGAUGAUGGGUAGCCGGCCUGAGAGGGUGAUCGGCCACAAGGGGACUGAGACACGGCCCUUACUCCUACGGGAGGCAGCAGUGGGGAAUAUUGGACAAUGGACCAAGAGUCUGAUCCAGCAAUUCUGUGUGCACGAUGAAGUUUUUCGGAAUGUAAAGUGCUUUCAGUUGGGAAGAAAAAAAUGACGGUACCAACAGAAGAAGUGACGGCUAAAUACGUG